rnacentral:tRNA from 1 species
UCCCUGGUGGCCUAGUGGAAAAGGAUUGGCAUUGUCACUGUUGUGGCUCAGGUUCGAUCCUUGGCCUGGGAA